rnacentral:lncRNA from 1 species
CCCCUGGAGGCAUACCUCUUCUACAGAAUCAAAGUUAGGGUUUCAAUUCUUCAUCCAAGUAGAGAGGAUCCCUCUAGUUCUUCUAGUUCUACCUCUAGUUCAUCUAGAUCUAGUUCUAGUUCAUCUAGUUCUAGUUCUAGUUCCUCUAGUUCUAGUUCUAGUUAGUUCUAGUUGUAAUCUAGAAAAUAGGGAGAGAGAAGAGGAGAGCGGAGGAGGAGCCAGAUUUGUCGGAUCUUCCUCAACAUUGUAUUUUUGCAGCAACUGGUUCAUUCUUCAUCGUUCUCCAGGUUCUUCAAUUCAUAAUCCUGAGUUCUUUAAUUACUUUUCCUUACAUUCAAGUUAUUUAUUGGAUUCCCGCUUGCAUCAAGUGCUCUAAUCUUUGCAACAUUAGAGUAGUAAUUAAUAGAUUAGACGUGGUGUUUAGUCUUGCAAUUACCUGGAAUUGCACCCAAUCCUGCGGAUUGUUGUGGUAGCCCUAGGGUAGUGACAGCCCUAACGGUCGACGUAUUCCACCUCGUUCGGAUCGGUGUUUGUAGGACCGUAGUCAGACCUUCCUAGCCCCCUUCUCAUCUCUUUCUGUGGUUAGUGUUCUGAUGUCCCGAAAUAGAUAAUCUUGAAGUGAUUCUUGAUUCUUAGAUCAACUAGAGAACUCUCAGGAAACUUCCUCUCUUCCCACCAAAAAUAAUUAUAUAGUUAUCCUUGGGCGAUCUUGAAUCUUAAUUAGUACACUCACGUUCUCUGUGGAAAAUCGAUACUCUGGAAUACUCCCGGGUGAAAGCUACAUCGGUAUCCGUGCGCUUGCGGAUUUUUCUGUUUGCGUUUAAAAUACCCAACAAGCUUUCUGGCGCCGUUGCCGGGGAACGGUAGCUGUGCUAGUUUCGAACCAAGUCAUCCGUGUAUCCUUUUUCUUUUUAUUUUUUACCACACUCACCUUGCCAUUUUCAUCACAACACAUGGAUUUUACUCCUAUCUAUAAAUUUUUUGCUCCAAAGGGCGAGUUAUUAGAGCCACCACCAUCAUCACAUCCAAUUCUUACAGAUGGCUACGACCUCGGCCCUGAUCUAAUAGCCAUGAUUCAGGAGCAACCCUUCUCUGGGGAAGUAGAUGAAGAUCCAUACACCCACCUUAGAGAAUUUGAGCAGUUGUGCUCUUGCCGAUCUAUUUCUGGCAUGACACAAGAAACCCUUAAAUGGAAAUUAUUUCCGUUCUCCCUUUUGGGAAGAGCAAAGAAGUGGUAUGCUCAUUCUGUAGGAGGCGUUAAUGGAAAUUGGGACGAACUUCGAGACAACUUUUGUCUCGCUUUCUUCCCACUCUUUCGAAUCGCUGACCUUAGAAUCGAAUUUCUUACAUUCAAACAAAAAGAGAAGGAAACUUUAGGAGCAGCUUGGGCUAGGUUCACAAGCCUUACCAAUUCUGGUCCAAACCUUUCCCUGCCUGACCAUGUACUCUACUACCACUUUUAUCGUGGUCUAAGCAAGGAAGCUGCUCUUCACCUCGAUAUUGCUUCAGGAGGCUCAUUCACACACAAACUCACAGAUGAGGGGAGAGCUAUCCUAGAAAGAAUCCUUGAAAAUACCCCUUACACGGGCAUUUAUGAUGAGUUUCCUGAAGGAGAAAAAGAAGUCGAGCCUGAUCCUAAACCAAAAGAUGAGGAACUUGCAACCGAGUUAGAAAUUCCACCUGACCCAUCCAUUAAUUUGGUUGUAGAGAAACCUCCUGAUAAAGGAAUGCAAAACCAACUAAGGGAUGAUGAACCACCACCUUUAGAGCAUCCCUUUGAAUUUGGGGAAGAUCUUUUUGAAGAUUAUGGAAACACCUCGAAUUUUCCUAUCCAAACACGACCUCUAGCAAGGAGCACUCAAUCUGUUCUAAGAGUAGAAUCUGUUGACAUAGAACACAUCAAAAGCCUUUCGGCUAUUCUGAGUUAUGAAUGGCUAACAGAAGCUGAGCUGUCUCUUGAGAUAGCUCGAAUCAUCACUCCUUCAACCAUUCUUCUGUGCCAAAUUAGAGGGUCCCCUAGGAUGGUCCACUACAAUCCAUAUGUUGGGAUAAAUGUUAUUUCCAAGGAGUUAGCUGGCACUCUUUAUCCCAACGAGUCCAUAACCCCAUCUCAAAAACUUUUACAAAGUCCAUCUAGAUUAAUUCUAGAAAGCCAUGGGGUAUUAAGGGCAGUUCCUGUUAGAAUCAAGGACUCUGGAAUAUGUCUAGAUUUUCACAUUUUUGACAUACCAGAGAUUCCUCUCUUGAUUGGUAGACCAAUCAUAAAACUUCUACAUGAACAACCACAACGAGGUCAUUUAGACUUCAAAGUUGGGAAUUCCACUAUUGUUGUUCCUCUAGCUAGAUCAAUUAACACGAUAGUGGAACCCAAACUUGACCCAGAUCCUAUUGAGGAGGUCUUAAUGGUGACUCAAGAGGAGAUGACCCAAGCAUUCUUUAAUCAUGAACACUUUGUUCAAGAAGAAGAAGAGUUGGUAGAACCCGUUGAGCUAGACAAAAAUGAACAACCUUCACCUCCUUCGAUAGAGUUAAAACCUCUUCCUUCUGGCCUUAGAUAUAUCUUCUUGCACAACAACCCAAACACUCCAGUAAUUAUCAGUGACAAGCUUUCCGAUUAUGAAACACAACAACUUGUCACUGUUCUUGAAAGGCAUAGAUCAGCAUUUGGCUACUCUCUCGAAGAUCUCACGGGCAUUAGUCCCAUUCUCUGCACUCAUCGCAUCCCUAUUGAUCCUAAUUUUACACCUUCAAGGGAGCCACAGCGGAGACUUAACAAUGCUAUGCGAGAGGUUGUUAAGAAAGAGGUCCUCAAACUCUAUCGUGCUGGGAUUAUUUAUCCUGUGCCACAUAUUGAGUGGUUUAGCUCUGUCCAAGUAGUGCCAAAGAAAGGAGGAAUGACAGUCGUUAGGAAUGAGAAGAAUGAACUCAUCCCUCAAUGAAUUGUCACUGGGUGGCGUAUGUGUAUUGACUAUCGAAAACUCAACAAGGCUACAAAGAAAGAUCACUUUCCGUUACCCUUCAUUGAUGAAAUGUUGGAACGGCUUGCAAACCACUCUUUCUUCUGUUUCCUUGAUGGUUAUUCUGGGUAUCACCAAAUCCCAAUCCACCCAGAUGACCAAGAAAAGACUACCUUUACAUGCCCGUAUGGAACUUAUGCAUACCGACGAAUGUCGUUCGGAUUGUGCAAUGCUCCAGCUUCUUUCCAACGGUGCAUGAUGUCUAUUUUCUCGGACAUGAUUGAGAAGAUCAUGGAGGUUUUCAUGGAUGAUUUUACCGUCUAUGGCAAAACCUUCGAUCAUUGUUUGGAGAAUUUAGAUAGAGUCUUGCAGCGAUGUGAAGAAAAACACUUAAUCCUGAACUGGGAGAAAUGCCAUUUUAUGGUUCAGAAGGAAUAGUGCUAGGACAUAAAGUGUCCGAACGUGGUAUAGAGGUGGACAAAGCAAAGAUUGAAGUUAUUGAAAAACUUCCACCUCCCACGAAUGUGAAAGGAAUCCGUAGCUUUUUGGGACAUGCAGGGUUCUAUAGACGCUUUAUCAAGAACUUCUCUCAAAUUGCUAGACCCCUAACUAGUCUCCUAGCUAAGGAUGCACCUUUCAUCUUUAGUAAUGAGUGUCAUGAAUCUUUUCAAACUCUUAAGAAAGCACUCAUCUCAGCCCGAAUCAUCCAACCACCUGAUUGGAAUCUUCCUUUUGAGAUCAUGUGUGAUGCUAGCGAUUUUGCGGUUGGUGCCGUUUUAGGACAAACCAAGGAUAAAAAGCAUUAUGCCAUAUCCUACGCUAGCAAAACCUUGUCUGGACCACAGCUCAAUUACACUACAACUGAAAAAGAGCUUUUGGCUGUUGUCUUUGCUAUAGACAAGUUUAGAUCUUACUUAGUGGGGGCAAAGAUAAUCAUCUAUUCAGAUCAUGCUGCUCUCAAGUACCUCCUCACUAAGAAAGAUGCUAAGCCUCGUCUAAUUCGAUGGAUUCUUCUACUCCAAGACUUUGACAUAGAAAUCCGAGAUAGGAAGGGAGUAGAGAAUUCCAUAGCCGACCACUUGUCUAGGCUUUAGUAUAAGGAAACAUAUGAUGAACUUCCCACAAAUGACUACCUAAGGGAUGACACCCUACUUAAGAUAACACAUGCAGAUCCAUGGUACGCAGACAUCGUAAACUUUAUAGUAAAAGGCUAUGUCCCACCUGGUGCAAACAAAAGGAAGUUGCUUCACGAUAGUCGUUUCCACCUUUGGGAUGAGCCAUAUCUUUUCCGAGUCUGCGCUGAUGGACUCUUGAGAAGGUGCGUUCCUAUGGCUGAGGCUACUCAAAUUAUGGAAAGAUGCAAUGCCUCGCCAUAUGGAGGGCACUAUGGAGCAUUCCGGACACAUGCUAAAAUUUGGCAAAGUGGCUUUUUCUGGCCAACGAUGUAUGGAGAUACAAAGGACUUUGUCAGGAGAUGCCACCGAUGUCAAAAACAUGGGAAUAUCAACUCACGAAAUGAAAUGCCUCUCACAAAUAAUCUUCAAGUAGAACUUUUCGAUGUAUGGGGCAUUGAUUUCAUGGGGCCAUUCCCUAUGUCUGGGAAUUGUGAGUAUAUCUUAGUAGCUGUGGAUUACGUGUCCAAAUGGGUAGAAGCCCUACCUUGUCGAUCAGCUGAUUCAAAACAUGCCAAGAGAAUGUUCCAUGAAGUAAUCUUUCCUCGCUUUGGUAUACCCCGGAUAGUUAUAAGCGAUGGAGGUUCCCACUUCAUCGACAAAAUCUUCCAGAAAUACCUAGCCGAUCAUGGAGUUCGACACAACAUCGCAACACCAUACCAUCCUCAGACUAGCGGUCAAGCCGAAACAUCUAACAAACAAAUCAAAAAUAUUUUACAAAAGACCGUAGAUGAGAUGGGUAAGGGGUGGAAGGACAAACUUCGUGAUGCACUUUGGGCAUAUAGAACUGCAUUCAAAACACCCAUAGGCAUGUCACCUUAUCAACUUGUAUAUGGAAAAACUUGUCACUUGCCUGUGGAAGUAGAGUUUAAGGCUCAUUGGGCACUCAAGAAAUGGAACAUGGAUCUCCAUCUCGCUAGCGAGAAUCGUCUGAUGCAACUAUUUGAGCUAGAAGAAUGGAGCGAGAAAGCCUACCACAAUUCAAGGAUCUAUAAAGAGAGAACAAAACGAUAGCAUGAUAAGAGAAUCAAGCACAAAGAGUUUAAGCCUGGAGAUAAGGUUCUACUAUUCAAUUCAAGAGUUAAGCUCUUUGGGCAUGGUAAGCUACGAAGUAAGUGGGAUGGACCAUAUAAGGUUGUUGACACUUCAACUCAUGGAGCCAUUACCAUCCAAGAUGACAUAGGUAACACUUUUAAGGUAAAUGUUCAACGCUUGAAAAUCUAUCUUGAGCCACAAAACAACCUUGUAAAGGAACUUGAUGUGAUUGAGUUCAUAGAAUUCUCAUAUUAAGCUCUAGACAAUUACCUAACCCUUAACAUGCUCCACAAGUUUUGUUGUCUAUUUGGGUUGUGCAUGAUUUUGAGGCUUAAGAAGAGUGAGACCAACCAUGCAGGCCACAAGAGUGAACGACUAUGUCAACAUCCAGCUUGGGGGAGGCACUCCCACGUGUAUCUGGAUAAGUAUUACUUUUCUUUCUUGGUUUUAUUUACUAGUAUUCGGAAAUAAAAAAAUGCAUAACCAUGAAACCAAACAAAGUUUUUCUUUUGAGUAAUAUACAAUAGUUUUGUGUAAUCCUAAGUUUUAAAUAAAAUAAAAAGAAAGUUUGAUCCAAGUCUAGGUAAUUGACAAACAUGAUAUGAGAAGGUCUGAGCUACUAUUUAACUUGUUCCAAGUUUUGCUAGAGUUCUGGAGAUUUUAUCUUUUGAAAAUCUAAAAAUUUAAAAAAAAUAUAUAUGAGAUCAUAAUACCUAGAGUCUUAUAAGAUAUAAAUAUUAAAACUGUGGGCGCUUGCUUUGUUCAAGCCAUUGUUAAUUCGUAGUUUUGGUUGAGAGAAUUAUCAUGCUCCCAAGAUCAAGAUCUUUUUGUUUUUAAAAAUAUAAAAGAUUCACUCUUCCGAAGUAUUAUUGCGUUAGAGGCAUGGGACUAUGCAAAAAUUUGAUUCGAAAAAAAGAGAGAGUGAGACGAGAGGUAAAAAUGGACAAGUGUCCGAAGUAGAAUUAGGGGUACAAAGAUACCCACCUGAGUGGAAAAAAUGGACAUGUGUCCGUCAGUAGAAUUAGGGGUAUUAGCUGCCCACUUGAAAAAAAAGAAGAGACUGAAAAAAAAAGAAAAAAAUGAUAGCCCAUGGUCCCUCUAAUAAGCAAUAUGCCAGAAAGAGAUGACAAACUUUUCAAAAAGGUCAAAGGUCUUGAUCUAGGAGUAUGACAUUCCUCUCCCUUACUCCGAGCGUUGACAUAGCAAAAUGCAAAGUAAGUAUGCUAAAACUUUUAAAGCUCUACUUAUAUAUCUUUCGAGAAGAAGGCAAAUACCUCAGUUUUAUUUUGCAGACUCAUAAAAAUAAAAAAAAACUCCAGAACAAAGGUAAGACAGAAGAACUUGAGAUGUAGUGCUUGACUUGAUCAUUCUGUUUUUCAAUCACUUAAGACCUUAAAAAAAACCUGUAGUAAGAGGCAUAAAAGUUACCCCUGUUUUCUUGCUAAUUUUAGCUUUGCUCAGGGAUGAGCAAAGGUUAAGCUUGGGGGAGCUUGUUGACGGUCCUUAAUGCUCACAUUUAACAAUCAACUAAUCAUGGAAAAGGAUCCAAAUGCAACCAACACCUAGACUUAGGGUUUUAUCUGACAGAAUUCCACGGGUUUUGGUGUUUGUCUAUUUCUGCAGGGGGUUAUCAGGAAAUACGGAAGAAAGGCCCACACGUCGGGAUUACAUAGAGAUAUUAACGUGCCGCGCAAUUUUCUAUCAUCUAGAAGACUCCAGAAGCCACGGGAACGAACGGGAGGCCGAGCGAGCCCGGAGGCAGGGCGCCCGCCCUACCCCCCUGGGCGCCCGCCCUCCUCUGCUGGCCAAUCAGCAUGAGUCUCGGGGAUUAUGCCCCACCGACUCUAAGGAUCGAGGAAAAUCACACGAUGAAGGUCGGUUUGAUCGGAUGGUGGAGAAUAACGUGGAAAUUCCUUUGGAGCUACUCUUCCUAGAUUUCUUGGGGGCUACUCUUCCUAGAUUUCUUGGGGGCUACUCUUCCUGGACUAUAUAAGCAGACCCCCACCAGCCCCUGGAGGCAUACCUCUUCUACAGAAUCAAAGUUAGGGUUUCAAUUCUUCAUCAAAGUAGAGAGGAUCCCUCUAGUUCUUCUAGUUCUACCUCUAGUUCAUCUAGAUCUAGAUCUAGUUCAUCUAGUUCUAGUUCUAGUUCCUCUAGUUCUAGUUCUAGUUAGUUCUAGUUGUAAUCUAGAAAAUAGGGAGAGAGAAGAGGAGAGCGGAGGUGGAGCCGGAUUUGUCGGAUCUUCCUCAGCAUUGUAUUUUUGCAGCAACUGGUUCAUUCUUCAUCGUUCUCCAGGUUCUUCAAUUCAUAAUCCUGAGUUCUUUAAUUACUUUUCCUUACAUUCAAGUUAUUUAUUGGAUUCCCGCUUGCAUCAAGUGCUCUAAUCUUUGCAACAUUAGAGUAGUAAUUAAUAGAUUAGACGUGGUGUUUAGUCUUGCAAUUACCUGGAAUUGCACCCAAUCCUAUGGAUUGUUGUGGUAGCCCUAGGGUAGUGACAGCCCUAACGGUCAACGUAUUCCACCUCGUUCGGAUCGGUGUUUGUAGGACCGUAGUCAGACCUUCCUAGCCCCCUUCUCAUCUCUUUCUUUGGUUAGUGUUCUGAUGUCCCGAAAUAGAUAAUCUUGAAGUAAUUCUUGAUUCUUAGAUCAACUAGAGAACUCUCAGGAAACUUCCUCUCUUCCCACCAAAAAUAAUUAUAUAGUUAUCCUUGGGCGAUCUUGAAUCUUAAUUAGUACACUCACGUUCUCUGUGGAAAAUCGAUACUCUGGAAUACUCCCGGGUGAAGGCUACAUUGGUAUCCGUGCGCUUGCGGAUUUUUGUGUUUGCGUUUAAAAUACCCAACAGGUAUAUGCCUUCUCUCAAGAUAUGUGGUAUUUAUGGUAUAAGGCAUAGUGACAUUGCCUUCUCUCUCACCCUACUCUAAUAAGGUUUUAAUAUCUGGAGCUCAUAGGUGGAAGAUAAAGUAUACAUACUUACAAGACAUUUAUUGUAUAGUCAAACCAUGGAUCCAAAGAAACAAAUCAAUAAGCCAAAUCAAGAUGUGCAUGUGUGGCGAAUGAAUGGUGUAUGGUGAUGAUGGUGAUAACAAUGGUGAAUGUCUAAUUCUACUUUUGCUCUUUUGAGGGGAUACAUACCUUCCUUGCUUUUUGAAACUUUAUGAGGAGAAUGAGAUGCUCUUCUUUUUUCUUUCCUCUCAGGUGGGUAUCUUGUACCCCUAAUUCUACUGUCGGACACUUGUCCAUUUUUACCUCUCGUCUCACUUUUUCUUUCUUUCGAGGUUCCGGGCACUUGCCCCUUUUUAUUUCCUCGUUUAUAUAUUUUUUUUCUUCUCUUUUCUUUUUUUUCUUUUCAGAGCACUCAUCUCUUGAGAUAAUAUAGCAAGUGGUAGUAGCAAGAUAACUUGAGCAUUUAUUUCACAAGGGAAAACAGAAAUAUUUUAGGCUAUUCUCUCCCGGAUUAGGAGUAGAAUAUUUUUGGGUGGUUCUGGAGAUGGACAUGGAUGGAUAUAUGUGGAUGGUACUUCUGGAGUAGAAGUAGCAUAUAUGAGUGAACGUGCAACUGAAUAUUGAUUUAACCACAUGACAAGCUCCUAAGGGUCUACACAGCUUGACCACACUAAAUGCUCAUAAGCAGUAAAUAAUAAAUGUGUGGCUCAAAGUCUAGCAAGCAUGUAUAUAUAUGCCUGUGGUAGGAAUUUAAACUCUCAUCAUACAGGAACUCAUCAUGCAAUAUUUUAAAGAUUUUUCAAAGAUAAAAUUCUCCAGAAUUCUAGCAUCUCUAGGAACAGAUAAACAGCAGCUCAGCCUUCCCAUAUCAUAUCCGUUAACAACUUAGAUUUCAGAUCAAGGUUUCAUCCCACAAGUUUAGAUCUAGAGCAAGCUUUAAAUUAUAACAGUUAUGUCUAAACUUGAGAGAGAACUUCAAAUUUGCAAAUUAGGCAGAGCAACUAUUCAUCAUAUCCAUGCUAGAGUUUUAUUAUUAAGAUUCAGAUUAGCAUAGCCACUUUAUUUAUUUAUUAAACACACUAAGCAAAAGAUAUAUAAGCACAAAAUCUUUAUUUCAUUUUUCAUAGUUUAUGUAUUUUAAUAUUCUAAUAUAAUAUAAGUAUAAAGAUAGGUAGAAAUACUUAGCGAGAUAAAUGGGGGUGCUCUCCCCCAAGCUGAAUUUUGACGUAAUUUCUCUUGAUGUAGCUAGCAGGUGGCAGAGGUGUAUUUGAAAGUCAGCAGCAUUCUGACAGCGAUUAGAAUGUCCUCCGUCUGCUAGUCUUCUUGAUUCUUAAAUUCUGUGGAGCUAAAAUAAGCAACAAAGCUUGUGGAACUAAUUAAGUAUUAGCAUAAAUAUCUAGCCUUUAUUAUGUUGAGCUUUCUCAAUAAAUUUUACUCCCUGUUUUUGUAUUUUUAUUUUAUAAAGGAGAAAAGAAAUAUUUAUUUUAUUUUUAUGCCACCACAGUGAAGGUACUUAUGGGUUUUAUGCCACUCGUAUACUCACAUGGGGCUUAGUAUUUUUUUAACAUUUUUAUUUUCUUUUCAAGAUAGCAUGAUUAACUAAUAAUGUAUUUAAGGAAAGUAAAUAAUUAAAGAGAAAAGGGAAUGCAGAAAGGAUAAAUAUGGAUAACUACCGAUCAUACCUUUCGGCGAGGGUUCAAUGUUUUAAGUCUUCUUAACAAGACUUCUCACCGUGUUCAUUCUUCAGGUGCGUCAUUUGAUUCAGGUGCGGACCUUGACGUCUGCACCUCUUCGUUUGCCCAGCAGUUCGAAGUGUGGCGUUGGCAGUAUCCUGCUCACUGUGUUUGUGCUCGUAGAUCUAGGUCCUUCACUUGGUAGAGUCGGAGAGUUAUAAAACUCCUCCAUAUUUUGCUCGAAGUGUACAUGCUCAUAGAGACAAGGCAGAGAUCAAGUGCAUGGGUCCUGUUGGUGGAAAACACCAACAGAACCUAAAGUUUAUGUGUUCUUCUCUAACCCUAAGCAUAGUGAGCAAGACAAAGUUGAUGGAUGAAAAGUUCAUGAGUGUAGCACUUAUAACAUUUGUCAGAUCAGAUCGCUCAACCUUAUGGAAAGAUAAUUUAUCUAUGUAUAUGUCUUUUUCUUUAUAUCUCUCAAUGAUUGAAUGUGUAACAUUUUAGCUCAUAUGAUUAGGAGUGUGGGAUCAUGGAGGUAGUACUAAGAACAAGGAUUAAAGGACUAAACAUGUGGAAUCAGUUGGGUUGGUUAAUCUAGAGUUGUAAAUCAUACAUGUUUAUCUCUUUUAUUUAUAUGAACGCCAAAACCAAGGAAAAACUUAUAAAAGUGAUAGUCAAGUACCUUAAGAUGUUACCUUGCUUGAAGAGUGAUGGUACAGUAUCACCUUGUGGAAGCUUUCCUUUCUUAGUGCUUGUGCAUCGUGUUUGUGGCACCCUCCAUGGAUCAUCUCUCUAUGAUGAAUGAGCUAUGUCUUUCUUGUGCAAAUUGUUAAACUUCAUGUGUCACUCUCUUCAUCUCUGAUGUGAGUUUAUCUCAGGACUUCCCAAAUCGAUAUUGAAAGUUUUUCUACAGGGGUUAGUCCGACAAAAAUAUACCAAUGUCUACACAAGCAGUUUUUAGUUCAAUAACCGAACUAGACUCCAUGUCUAAUCAGAUUAAGGAAGGAUGUUUAACCUAAGCACCAUGCUUAAUUUAAAAGCCAAUAGAAGUAUGUGCAGUACUUCCAAACUAACACUUGCUAGUAAAUAGGCAAAGGUAACAUGACAGCAUUUAUAGAGAUCUACUCAAGUGGAGAUGAAGUAGUGUGAUUAGUAUUUAACAAAUUGAGCAUGUCUUAAAGGUAG